CCUACGGGUGGCAGCAGUGGGGAAUAUUGGACAAUGGGCGAAAGCCUGAUCCAGCCAUGCCGCGUGUGUGAAGAAGGCCUUCGGGUUGUAAAGCACUUUCAGUGGGGAAGAAAGCCUUGGGGCUAAUACCCUCGAGGAAGGACAUCACCCACAGAAGAAGCACCGGCUAACUCCGUGCCAGCAGCCGCGGUAAUACGGAGGGUGCGAGCGUUAAUCGGAAUUACUGGGCGUAAAGCGCGCGUAGGCGGUCUGAUAAGCCGGGUUGUGAAGCCCCGGGCUCAACCUGGGAACGGCAUCCGGAACUGUCAGGCUAGAGUGCAGGAGAGGAAGGUAGAAUUCCCGGUGUAGCGGUGAAAUGCGUAGAGAUCGGGAGGAAUACCAGUGGCGAAGGCGGCCUUCUGGACUGACACUGACGCUGAGGUGCGAAAGCGUGGGUAGCAAACAGGAUUAGAUACCCUAGUAGUC
rnacentral:rRNA from 1 species